UACCAGGACUCAGGCAUCAAUAUUUCAUCUUGCUUAGCCUGCCAGCACCAUCUCUCUCCUGCUUCCCGCUGGCUCUAGGACCCAGAGGGCUGGGUGUGCUGUCGACCUGCAGCCAUAGGACUCUGGGCUGCUUCCUCGGGCCCUGACCUGUCCUCUAUGCCAUCCAUCUGGCAGAGCGGCCCGACCAGGCAUGGCGUCUUUCUGAGCCAGAAGUCUUGCUCACUUUUUGUCUAUGAACCUGAAUGCUGGAAGAAAAGAAGUGACAGCAGCGGUCAGGACCAGGGCUACUUUGUCCUCACCCGACACUCGCCUGUAGACCCUGAGGCCUCCUGUCUGUGCUCAGGACCCUGAGGGCUGGACUGCGCAUCUGGAGGGGCUCCUGGGCCAUGGGGGGCCUCCUGGAAGGGCACAAAGCCCUGAAAUUCAUGUGCUGGAGCUGCGCCUGGUCAUCUAGAGUCUUGGGGUCUUGCCCAGAAAAGGAAGCCUGUAUGCUGGACUUGGCAGAAGAGCGAGAUGGAGAAAAGUCCACGUGAGCUCACAGCAAGAAGGCAGCUGUCUGCAAGCCAGGAAGAGGCCCUCACUGCCAGAGCCCCACCAUGCCAGGACCUCAUCUAGAUGUCCAGCCCCACCCCCCCCCGCCCCCCAACUGUUGUUUAAAGCCCCCGGGGGGAACAAGCUGGGUGUG